rnacentral:rRNA from 1 species
CAUGCAAGUCGAGCGGAAACGACAMYAACRAUYCUUCGGRUGMKUUAAUGGGCGUCGAGCGGCGGACGGGUGAGUAAUGCCUAGGAAAUUGCCUUGAUGUGGGGGAUAACCAUUGGAAACGAUGGCUAAUACCGCAUAAUGCCUACGGGCCAAAGAGGGGGAYCUUCGGRCCUCUCGCGUCAAGAUAUGCCUAGGUGGGAUUAGCUAGUUGGUGAGGUAAUGGCUCACCAAGGCGACGAUCCCUAGCUGGUCUGAGAGGAUGAUCAGCCACACUGGAACUGAGACACGGUCCAGACUCCUACGGGAGGCAGCAGUGGGGAAUAUUGCACAAUGGGCGAAAGCCUGAUGCAGCCAUGCCGCGUGUAUGAAGAAGGCCUUCGGGUUGUAAAGUACUUUCAGUUGUGAGGAAGGGKGUGWMGUUAAUAGCUKCRYMUCUUGACGU